AUAAGACCCCUAACAUCACCCAUAAUCUCUCUACAAGUAUUCCAAACAAUACCAUCAUCCCCGACACGAAAUCAAGAAGCAACAACACAAAAUCGAUCCCCACGACGUAAGUAUCACUAUAUUACCUCUCUUUUUCUUUAUAAUUUAAGUAUUGGAAGGUCUUUUGAAGUUAAUAAAAAUGCCUAAUUUCUGGUUGCAAGAUCUUAAAUAUCAAGUAAGGUUGAUUACUUCAUUUUAUAAUAGUUAGAACUAACGGGACGAUGAUCGAAAGCCGUGAGUUCGAGUUAUUUGGUUUGUAAUGGACUGUUUUGUGGGAUGUUUCGUGUUGCUUUUGGGAUGUAUAUUUUGCUGCCAUUAAUGGAUUUUUUGGAGGAUAAAUGAUUUGUAGAAACACCACAUAAUUUUAAAAUGAUGGAUUAGUCAUUCUUUAUAAUAUUUUCGGGGUGUUGGACACUACUAUAGUCGUCGUUCUUGGUAUGAAUUGAUUGGGGUGUGUUCUGCUGUUUUAAGCCAUAUAUAACAUUGAAUUCGACUUGAACCUACUGUAGGAGGCAAUUAUAUUGUGUUCCUACAUGUGCUUAAGGUUAUACUGACAUUCGUUGAGUGAAAUGGAUGAACUAGACAUGAACUAGUGAAUAAUGUUGCUAAUUAAGAAUAAUUGAAGUUGUGGAUCAUUUUCUUUGGUAUGGAUAUAUGGUAUAAGGCUGGAAUUAUUGCUGAAUGAAUUCACUAUCAUGUUAAUGAUGCUACUAAGCUAAAGUUGAAAGUCUAUAAGGAACGAUAUGGGGUAUACGAAUUUCAAUUGGAGCUUGUCGUUCGUCGUCAAAUAAUUAUGACUUGUUGUUAUUUUAUGGUGCCUUGUUAUUGAUAAUUAUGUAUUGUUGGAUUUCUCUGGUAAUUGUGGUUGGUAUAUGGUAUUGCAGGAAGCUAUUUUACAGGGGAGAUGUUGCCCUAAUUUAUAUAAACAAGCUACAAGUUUAAGUUGCAAACUUAGCCUUUAUUCAACAUUGAUUUUGAAUCUCCUUAUGCAAUGGUGGAUUGAAUUGAGUUGUUUGAAGAUUUUCUUGAGAGGUAUCCAGGACUCACCAUGGUUAAGGUAUGUUAAGGCACUUCUGUAUUUCUUUUGGCAUGAUCUAAAAUGAAACGAACAUAAACGAUACGCUACUUCAUAAUGGAUCUACUCCUAAAAACUAAGAUUGUCCAUGUUGUUCUUUCCUUAUAAAGUUAUUCUAAACAAGUGUGUAUGAUCCUUAAAUCCUACUGAGGUUCAUAUUGAUGGUAUGAUUUCCAUAAUGUUAAUCGAAGGUGCAAUGAUCUUACGUCACUCCGAAAGGUCUAGAAUGUGAUUCCAUGAGUCGAGCAUGCAUUAUAUAUAUGUAUCUAUUUUACUCACCGAGCCGAGCUAUAUUCGGCCAGGUACGAUACCUAUUGUGCAACCACUGAUAAGUUGGGUUUACCGAGCUCCACGUGGCCGGGUAUAUUUUUACCGAGUCCUCUUUGAGGCCAGGUACGAUAUGAUGAUGAUGAGGCCCCCAGAGGCGUAAUUUUUUUAAACGUUUAUGUAUAUAUAUAUAUAUAUAUAUAUAUAUAUAUGCAUUUCAUGUCAGGAGCCCCCAGAGGCACUCAGAUGAUCUAGGUUGUAUCUCCUCUAUCUCUCCUUACAUUAUAGUUCUUGCUUAUGUUUUCCUUCCUUACAUACUCGGUACUUUAUUUGUAAUAACAUCCCUUUUGCCUAGGGACACUGCAUUUCAUGCCCGCGGGUUGCGAUUGAUAGAUUGACAGUCUUCCUAGUAGGCUAUCAGCUCAGCGGAGGUGUUGGUGCACUUCACUUGCUCCAGAGUUGCCUAUUUGGUUAGUAUGCUUUGGAUAUGUAUUGAUUGGUAUGAGGGGCCUUAUCCCGACCUUUACGAUUUUAUGUAGUCUUAGAGGCUUGUAGACAAAUGUUAGAUUUAUAGAUACUUGUAUGGCCUUAUCGGCCUAUGUUUUGAAUUUACAAAUGGUCAUGUCGGCCUUAUGGGCAUGUACAUCACAUGUAUAAGUUUUUAAAUUAUGUUACGUUUGUACUCGAUUGAGUAAGGCACCGGGUAUCCAUCUCGGCCCUUUGGUUUGGGUCGUGACAGAAGUGGUAUCAGAGCAGUUAUGUCCUAGG
rnacentral:lncRNA from 1 species